CGACCGGCGCACGGGUGAGUAACACGUAUCCAACCUGCCGUCUACUCUUGGACAGCCUUCUGAAAGGAAGAUUAAUACAAGAUGGCAUCAUGAGUCCGCAUGUUCACAUGAUUAAAGGUAUUCCGGUAGACGAUGGGGAUGCGUUCCAUUAGAUAGUAGGCGGGGUAACGGCCCACCUAGUCUUCGAUGGGUAGGGGUUCUGAGAGGAAGGUCCCCCACAUUGGAACUGAGACACGGUCCAAACUCCUACGGGAGCAGCAUG
rnacentral:rRNA from 1 species